AACGCGAAGAACCUUACCUGGCCUUGACAUGUCCGGAAUCCUGCAGAGAUGCGGGAGUGCCUUCGGGAAUCGGAACACAGGUGCUGCAUGGCUGUCGUCAGCUCGUGUCGUGAGAUGUUGGGUUAAGUCCCGCAACGAGCGCAACCCUUGUCCUUAGUUGCCAGCACGUAAUGGUGGGAACUCUAAGGAGACUGCCGGUGACAAACCGGAGGAAGGUGGGGAUGACGUCAAGUCCUCAUGGCCCUUACGGCCAGGGCUACACACGUGCUACAAUGGUCGGUACAGAGGGUUGCAAAGCCGCGAGGUGGAGCCAAUCCCAGAAAGCCGAUCCCAGUCCGGAUCGAAGUCUGCAACUCGACUUCGUGAAGUCGGAAUCGCUAGUAAUCGCGGAUCAGCUAUGCCGCGGUGAAUACGUUCCCGGGUCUUGUACACACCG
rnacentral:rRNA from 1 species